UACGUAGGGUCCGAGCGUUGUCCGGAAUUACUGGGCGUAAAGAGCUCGUAGGUGGUUUGUCGCGUUGUUCGUGAAAACUCACAGCUUAACUGUGGGCGUGCGGGCGAUACGGGCAGACUUGAGUACUGCAGGGGAGACUGGAAUUCCUGGUGUAGCGGUGGAAUGCGCAGAUAUCAGGAGGAACACCGGUGGCGAAGGCGGGUCUCUGGACAUUUCCUGACGCUGAGGCACGAAAGCCAGGGGAGCAAACGGG
rnacentral:rRNA from 1 species